UACAGAGGUCUCGAGCGUUAGGCGGAAUCACUGGGCUUAAAGCGUGUGUAGGUGGAUGCCUAAGUACCUUGUGAAAUCCCACAGCUUAACUGUGGAACUGCUUGGUAUACUGGGUGUCUUGAGUCACUCAGGGGCGAGCGGAACAAAUGGUGGAGCGGUGAAAUGCGUAGAUAUCAUUUGGAACGCCAAUGGUGAAAACAGCUCGCUGGGGGUGCACUGACACUGAGACACGAAAGCCAGGGGAGCGAACAGG
rnacentral:rRNA from 1 species